AGUUUACCGGUUCAAUUAAAUGUGAAUUGUGCCCUCGUCAGACCGUUUCUUGAGUACGGUUUGGUAGUUUGGGAUCCUUUCUGUGCUGAUUUGUGUCAACACCUUAAAGGAAUCUAAAGAAAAUUCUAAAUUAUACCAGUUAUGCUUUGAAUACAUCCUGCCCACCUCACGAUUAAUCUCCUGUACUAACCAAACUCAAAUUAUCUUCUUUAGCAGCCCGUUGUUACU